GCAGCUUGCUGCUUCGCUGACGAGUGGCGGACGGGUGAGUAAUGUCUGGGAAGCUGCCUGAUGGAGGGGGAUAACUACUGGAAACGGUAGCUAAUACCGCAUAAUGUCGCAAGACCAAAGAGGGGGACCUUCGGGCCUCUUGCCAUCGGAUGUGCCCAGAUGGGAUUAGCUUGUUGGUGGGGUAACGGCUCACCAAGGCGACGAUCCCUAGCUGGUCUGGGAGGAUGACCAGCCACACUGGAACUGAGACACGGUCCAGACUCCUACGGGAGGCAGCAGUGGGGAAUAUUGCACAAUGGGCGCAAGCCUGAUGCAGCCAUGCCGCGUGUAUGAAGAAGGCCUUCGGGUUGUAAAGUACUUUCAGCGGGGAGGAAGGGAGUAAAGUUAAUACCUUUGCUCAUUGACGUUACCCGCAGAAGAAGCACCGGCUAACUCCGUGCCAGCAGCCGCGGUAAUACGGAGGGUGCAAGCGUUAAUCGGAAUUACUGGGCGUAAAGCGCACGCAGGCGGUUUGUUAAGUCAGAUGUGAAAUCCCCGGGCUCAACCUGGGAACUGCAUCUGAUACUGGCAAGCUUGAGUCUCGUAGAGGGGGGUAGAAUUCCAGGUGUAGCGGUGAAAUGCGUAGAGAUCUGGAGGAAUACCGGUGGCGAAGGCGGCCCCCUGGACGAAGACUGACGCUCAGGUGCGAAAGCGUGGGGAGCAAACAGGAUUAGAUACCCUGGUAGUCCACGCCGUAAACGAUGUCGACUUGGAGGUUGUGCCCUUGAGGCGUGGCUUCCGGAGCUAACGCGUUAAGUCGACCGCCUGGGGAGUACGGCCGCAAGGUUAAAACUCAAAUGAAUUGACGGGGGCCCGCACAAGCGGUGGAGCAUGUGGUUUAAUUCGAUGCAACGCGAAGAACCUUACCUGGUCUUGACAUCCACGGAAGUUUUCAGAGAUGAGAAUGUGCCUUCGGGAACCGUGAGACAGGUGCUGCAUGGCUGUCGUCAGCUCGUGUUGUGAAAUGUUGGGUUAAGUCCCGCAACGAGCGCAACCCUUAUCCUUUGUUGCCAGCGGUCCGGCCGGGAACUCAAAGGAGACUGCCAGUGAUAAACUGGAGGAAGGUGGGGAUGACGUCAAGUCAUCAUGGCCCUUACGACCAGGGCUACACACGUGCUACAAUGGCGCAUACAAAGAGAAGCGACCUCGCGAGAGCAAGCGGACCUCAUAAAGUGCGUCGUAGUCCGGAUUGGAGUCUGCAACUCGACUCCAUGAAGUCGGAAUCGCUAGUAAUCGUGGAUCAGAAUGCCACGGUGAAUACGUUCCCGGGCCUUGUACACACCGCCCGUCACACCAUGGGAGUGGGUUGCAAAAGAAGUAGGUAGCUUAACCUUCGGGAGGGCGCUUACCACUUUGUGAUUCAUGACUGGGGUGAAGUCGUAACAAGGUA
rnacentral:rRNA from 1 species